rnacentral:lncRNA from 1 species
AUGAGGCUGUGCAUGGCAAAAAAUGUUAUAUAUUGGGAAGACAGACUUUGGAAAAGGACAACAGGAAGUACAGAUCUGACAAGAUGGCAGAGUUUUGUGAGGGAGGCAAAGGGAGAUCUGACUAUAAAAGAAAGCAGGCAAUGUGACCACGUGAGCAGAGACUGGAGAGAUGCAGCCAUGAGCCAGGGAAUGCUGGCAGCCAUUCGAAGCCAAAAGAGUCCAGAAGCUGACUCUCUCCUGAAGGAACCAGACUCUCUCCUGAAGGAACCAGACUCUCUCCAGAAGAAGGAACCAGACUCUCUCCUGAAGGAACCAGACUCUCUCAGGAAGGAACCAGAUUCUCUCCUGAAGGAACCAGACUCUCUCCGGAAGGAACCAGAUUCUUUCCUGAAGGAACCAGACUCUCUCUGGAAGAAGGAACCAGACUCUCUCCUGAAGGAACCAGGUCUGCCUGAUUGUUGUUGGCAGACCACUUUGACUUUAGCCUUGUAAGACUCAUUUUGGACUUCUGACAUCCAGAAACAUAAGAGAAUAAAUUUUGUGUCAUUUUAAAUCACUACAUUUGGAAUAAUUUGUCACAACAGCAAUAGGAAAUUAAUGCAUCUUUGAUAGUAGAAGGGGAGAAGACACAGGAAUAGUUAAUUUUAAGAGAGGGGGACAGGAAUUUAAGUUGUGGACACCUAAUGGUCUCAACUUUAUUUUGGAUCAGAAAGCCAAGUUAUGUUCUAGGAUAAUGGGGAUAAGCUAGGGAAGUUGAAAGGAAAAGUUCUUGAAAGUAAAUGGCAGAGGCUGCUAAAUUAGCAGAAGAGAAAGAAUUGAUGAGUAACCUUGAUACUGAGAGACUGAAUGUGUUGAAUAGACUUUUGCUGUGGAGUGGUGGAGAUGUUGUGUUGCUUCUCAGCUCUGGGAUUUUCUCCGGCUGUUCCCAGUCACCCCGACAGAAGAGCAAAGAAGGUGACUGUGAGUUAUUUGGGAUUUUGCCAGGUUGCAGGAAUGCAGGAAUAGGUGGUGGAAACACUGAUUCUGGUGACUUUCCUGACUCCACCUUCUACCUUGAGGCAUGUGGGCCUGGAGAAGGGGCAGCUUCCAGUUCCAAGGGUCCCAGGGGACGAGGGGAGGCAGCUCCCUUUCAUGCUGCCAAGUCAGAUCUAAGUUACAAGGGUGGAAAAUAAAGAAUUAUGGUUUGAUAGAAAGGUUGAGGUUAAAAGAAAAUAAGUUUCUGGGGACAUAGUAGAAAUGUGUGAAAGUGAGAACGCUGAGUGCAGAGGAGACAAAUCAUCUUAUGGUGCAAAAUGGUAGUGAGUGAAAUAGGCUCAUGGCUGAGAGGGCUGGUGACUUUGGAGGCAAACACACAUGGCAGAGACGAAAGGCAGCUGGGAUUUGCAGUUUGUCCUAAGGCUCCAAUCAACUUUGGGAUGGGCAUGGGAGAGAUCUCUAGCAGGCAAGUCUGUCACAGUGGACUGGGCCCUGUGAGGUGAAGUGAUGAUGUCCUGAGCGGCUGGAGGGUUUUGACUGGGUCUGGAGUCCAAUCCCCAGUGUGCCCUCUCUCCUAGAGUUCCAGAUGGGGUAAUAAGCUACUCAGAGUUUAUAGCAGAUCCUUGUUCUCUGGGACUUCUUGGCUCAUUGUUUUAGGGGGCUGGGGCUUUGAUUCCACUGUGACCCACAUCCUUUCCUCUGAACAAUGACAGACUCACAUGGUCCAGGCUGUUUUAUGUCUCCAUGCACAUGCUAUUUGCUGAUGCAAGAACAGGUUUUGGCUACCUGUCUGCAUGGUGAUUUCAUCUUUCAAACCCAGCUCACUGCC